rnacentral:lncRNA from 1 species
UGGAUUAGUGUUUUCUUUGUUUGCCGUUGUAUCCAACUUAAAGGUAUCACCACUCUGUUUUGCUGGAAAGUUCGAAUGACGAGCUGUAGAAGAGAGUCUUGAUACAUUCCGAUGAGAGUCACUCCCCUGAGCUGAACCAAUCACUUUACAAAACGUUGUACUCUGCAUCUUCAACACCGCAAGUUUGUGGUCAGUCAAACUCACUGGCUCCUUCAUCCGAAUCACUUCUUUCAUUUCUGACUUCAACCCAUUGAAGAACACCUUGACUAAGUUCUUCUCGUCAAUUCCCGUGACUUGAUUUAUCAAAGCUUCAAACUCGUUGACAUAGUCCUCAACCUCUCCCUCCUGUUUUAAACAGAACAAUCUUGCAGCUGGAUCGUUGUCAAUUGGACCCCCAAAUCUGUCUAGCAUCCUCUGAGUAAACUGUUCCCAGUUGACAAAAGGAUCACAGAUAAUCUCUCCAUUGAACCAUUGUAACACUGGACCUUCCAAGCUCAAAGAAACUAGAUGUAGCUUCUCUUCCUCAUUGUAGUUACCAAACCUGAAAAAUCUUUCCACACGAGAAAUCCAAUCGAAUGGCAAUGGACCAGAGAACACAAGCAUUUCAAUUUUCCUCAACAUCUUAUCACGAUUCGCCAAAGUGCCAUGGAUUCCCCGAUAACCUAACUGUGUGGGAGGUAGUUCCGGCUCAUAGAUAGUUAUCGGUACCUGAGGGCGCUGAUUAUCUGAUGAUGAUGCAAUUUCUUUUCCCGGACGUUGCGGAAACGCAGCUGAUUCUUCGAAUCGCGUCAAAAGGUCUGUGAUGACCGUCAUCCUCCUCUCUAGAGCUUCGAAUCGCGUCGUCGUCUCCACACCGAUCGCGUCGAUCUUCUUCUCCACCGAAUCGACUUUCGUCGACAUUGAUUCCACUCGCUCCUUUGUAGAUCGAUCGUUACGAGCUAGCGUAUCGUAGUUGAGCUUCGUCAGCUCCAUUUCAUCUUGAAUUCGUUGAAGAUCCAUCGAUUUCAGUGGCUCUGCGGUCGACGACUUCUCCCGAUCACCUCCGUUUCUUGUUUCCACCAUCGUUCUUCUGUCGCGUUGCUUCCGAUCAGUUUCACCGCACCAGUGAUAGACUUUAGAUAUUGUAAAGCUAAAGACUAUGAACGAUUCCUUUGAUUAUCAAUAUAAAGAGUUACAGCUUUGAAGUACGAUACUGGUUCACUCUCAUAGCGAGAUCACCAUUCUCGUCAGUCUCAUAGCGACUGUUAGCUCAAGACUCAUAACGUCGGUGAGUUUACAACAUACAAAGCAUAAUCUCUCAAAUGCAUAUACAAUAGCUAUUUAUAUCAUCUCCAUCUGUAACCGCAAAGACUCUCUCUGAAAUAGAAGUUUCCCCCUUCCUUGUUAUUCACUUCACUUCAGACUCCUCACUCUCUUCCUCACUUGACUCCAACGGUUUUUUACCUCCUCCCCUGCGAAUAUAAACCUUCUUGAACCUAUCACUUCCAUGUCGCUGGCUAGCUCGGUUAAUCGGGGCGGGAGAGCCAUGUCUCCGCUUUCUCUCACCAUCACAUCCUAAACCAUCACUGGAGUUCAAGCGGGUCUGAGAAAACAGUUGUUGCAGUGACUAAAGGCUUCAACCUACACAAAUAAGAAGAGGAGCAAAACCACCAACAAGAUCAAGCCACCAAUUGGUGCUGCGAUGUGUUUCUCCAAACAUUAGGAGUCACCGAAGAAGCACCAGAAACCGGAGACAACCUGACCAUCCAUCCAAUGUCUUCGCCUAAUGCCCAUGCAAGAGAACCAACGAACAGUUCUUGACUGAGUGGUACAAGAUUGAACAUAAUUGUAUUUGGCUGAGAAUUUAAAUAACUUGUUUGCACCAAACAUAAAAUAUAAUUGUAUCAGUUUUACCAUUUAUUUAACGGGUCUAUACUAUGUUUAGCAUCUUCUAAAAUUAUAAAUGUUGUAUUAAUAUGUUCGGUGCAUGUUUUUCAAAACGGUGCAUCUUUAAUGAAUAAUAUUUUCGUUUUUUUUCUUCAUUAUGAGUUAUUUUUAUGAUACAAACUAUUUUGUGAUUUUUAUGAGAAUUUCCCUAUUAUUAACUAGAUUUUAAUUAUUAAAAAAGAUAAAAUAAUUAGAUAAUAAUAGUUAAUAUUUUCAAGUUUAAAAAAUCUAUAAGUCUCUACCAUUAUUGAUGCUCUUAUAUAUAUCACACUCUGAUAUGUUAGAAAGAACAAGUAAAACAAAAAUUACACAAACCUUUAUAUUGAAAAGAAACCGAAACAUGAUUGUAGCAACAGUCCCACAUCGGUACUUUAGAGAGUGAUGGUCCAAUAUAUAUGUAGUGAUAAUUUUCCUCAAGUGCACUUUUCCCGAUUCAUAAAAAAUCGUUCUCUUGGAAUAUCCAAAAUUUGUUUCCUCAAGUGCUACACAUAUUCCUCCAUCGAGUUGUUGUACAUAACAAUAUCGUCCAGAUUUUCCACCACUAACCGAUCCAAGUAGGAAUCUAGGAUUUGGUUCAUGAAAGUACAAAAGUGGCUGGGUAUUUUUAAGACCGAAUGGUAUCACCAACCACAUCAACGACCGAUAUUGUUUAUGCAUGUUGUUUCCUUCAGUAAUCUAAAUUUGAUAUUACCCCUUUCGCAAGUCCGUUUUAGUUUGGACCUUUGUCCUUCCAUGUCUAUUGAAUAUAUUGACAAUCAGAGAAAUAAAGUAGUUAUUCUUGAUUGUCACCUUAUUAUGUGCCCAAUAGUCUAUUCACAUCCACAAAGUCUCGUCGUUCUUCUUCUAGCACACAACUGGGGUGCAAUAAGGUGUCCUGGACGGUCUCAGCUUCCCCUUCGCUAACAGUUCAUCAAGUUAUUUUUGUAACUCCUCAAAUUUGGAUGGACCCAUCCGACAGGGUGCCAUUGUGAGUGGUUUGUAUCCCAUCUCCAACUCAAUAUGAUGGUCCAUGCCCUCCUCGUUGUAAUUUUCAGGAAACUUAGCGAAAUCACGUCUUUGUUCUUGUCAAGGACCGCCUCGAUGGCUGGUGGAAUUGAUUUAACGUUCUCAGGCUCAUUUUCCAUCUUCAUUAUGGCCAGAAAUGUGGGUUCUUCCUUCACUCUCUUGGUGAGCAUCAUGGCUGAAAGUUACUUUGUCCCAUUGGACUUUUCUUCUAUGCAAAAUCAUACGUGGUUAGCCCUUCUUGAGAAUGCACACCAUGCUUAGCACGAGCAUGAGUAUAGCCGUCACUUGUUUCAUGAAUUACAUACUCAACACUAUCUUGAAAUAUUCCAUGGGAAUGACUGAUAAGUUUACUGGACCAUUCCAACUUCCCAUCCGCAUCUCAAUCCCUCGACCUAUCACAUUGACGGUUUGAGCCUUAGUGUUCACCUUCUCAUCCAACCAUCUAUCCUCGUCCACUUGAAUCUGAAUCUCGUGGUUUCAUCUUCUGCCAUGAAGUUAAUUCACUAAUGUCCACCAUCAUUCGGGUUGGUUUAUCAUAAAUCCAAACUUCAAUGUACAUGAGCUCCUUGCUCAUUGGUUUCACCACUGGAUUGGCCUUAAGGGCGUUAAGGAGUUAUAUCGAGUAUAUCUUGAUCGUUUCUUUCUUGGUAGUCUCAGUCGCAUUAUUUUCCAUGAUUGCGGACAAUGUCCUAGUCUUUGGACUAUCCUUCACAAGAUGCGGCCCUUUUCAGAAAAAUCAUCCUCUUUGAUUCAAACUCCUCCCGAAAACAUCCCUUCUUAAAGCUCCUCGAGUGGAAUGGCCAGGCUGUAUCCCAUCUAUCUUCCACACCUUUGGCUACAACAUUCUCCUUCUUCUUAAAGAACUCAAAAUGAUCAGUCGCAAAGGUCAGUUAAUGACUCGGCCACCACUAUUGUUUCAUCAACAUACUGAACUCCACGUUGCUGCAACUCUUCCUUUUCCAGCAUUUGUUGUCCAUCUGCAUAGUAAAACAUGAGCUCCUCGUCCAUUAUGCUCGGAAUCUGAAGCAUGUGAGUAGUGAAUUCCUUCACAUAUUCGCGGAUCAUACCUCAAUCUAAAAUAUUCCUAAACUUCUUACAUGAUUCAUACACAACAUUUUCUGGGUAGAACACCGCUUCUACUCCUUAAAAUCUUCCCGUCUUAACCGAAAAAUUCCCCGUUCAAUGUCGGAAUGUUUUAUAUGCCACCACAUCAUACUUUUGUCCGCCAAGUAUGGUGUUUUGGUCUUUAACUUUGCAUCCAUCCUUGGCAUCUCUUACUCCGUUGAACUAUAAUGGUUGUGGAAAGUCAAUCCGAACAAAUCUGUUUGCUAAAACGGUAUCUAUAUUCAUGCUUCCCCUCUUGCAUAUCGUGAUAUCUUCCUCCAUCACAUAAUACUUUGCCUUCCUCCCUUUGAUAUCAUUAUACAAGGUCUUCCAAUUACCAACUCCUCAAGUCAAACAAACCAAGAGUAGACGUCAAUAUCAUUUUGCUUGACCUCUUCGAGCCAGCUGAACAUGCAGCUCUCCAGCUCUGUGAUGUAAUGCUCGACCGUCAGAGCUUCUCACCUAAUUCACCCAUGACUUGUUCCAAGACUUCACGGAAAAACACUCCUCUCUCGUCAGCAUCCAACAUGAGAAAACGUUGUCUCCCUUAUGCGUUCCUCAUGAACUCAGGACGUCAAGCUAACUUUCUUAUCUUUACUUACCUUAACCAUACUCUCGGACUAAAUCUUCCCUCGUCACAUACAAACUUUCGUUUUGAUACAACUUGUCACAGACUGAUUCCUCUUGAAUCAAAAUGUGCGGUCUUAACACUUUUUACGCGUUAUAAUUGCUAAGUCAAUCGUUUACCAAAACUUGGAACUUUGCUUAGAGAGAGAGAGAGAGAGAGAUAGAGAGAGAAUCACAGAAAGAGAGAGACUUUAAAAGAAGUGUUUAUCUUAUAUAUCGGUGAAUAAUUUACAAAUGGGAGUUCACCCAUUUUAUAUGUACAAUAUCAUCUUCGACAGACGCUGGUGAUAAAACCGAUUUUUCCGAUUUAUUUUUAGUUGAAUAAUUUUAUUUUUAAAAAUCUUUAAAAAGUAAUAAAUAUAAAUGGAUUUGAGUUUUUUUUGGCCCAGUCUAUUUACUUGGUUGCUCCAUGUCUGUUUUGGGGUCAAAAUCUCCUAAAAUUUAUUUGAAAAAAUUUAUAAUAUUAAAAAUUAAUUAUAAUUAAAAAAUUAUAAUUUUGGAACUUGUGUGUUUGGGGGUCAAAAUCUUUCAACGUUUAAUUGCAAAUAACAAGGUAAUAAAUAAAAAGUAAAUAUUGAAGAAAACAAAUGUCACAUGAAAUCUGAACGUCUCUUAUCUUCUCCUUGCCUCAUCAUCGUCGCUUAUGCGUUUAGUCUUCUAAAUAAUACAAUUUAUCUUCUUUUCCAUUUCAUUUCUCCGAGAGAACUUUUGCAUUUAAAAAAAAAAACAAAAUCGAGAAGGAGACUGAGAAUCGUGCAGAGGAGAAAAGACACCCACCCACCAAGUUUUCAAUUUCGACAAAGAUACGUUUCAGUUUUGAUCUUGAUUCGUUCCGGGUAACCACCAUUUCUUUUUCUUUAAUCGGUCUCUUCGUCGUUUAGAUCGUUCUUGAUUUGAUGCAUUUGCGACAGGAUGUGCAGAUCGGGAGAUUGGCCCACUGCAAGAUUGGAUUUUUAAUUUGGCAUCUGAUUCGAUUUGGUUGGGGUAAUUGGAAUCAGUAACUUAAUUUGCCAAGAUCAUGUUUUUAUGUAUUAAAAAUGAAAUAACGCUUCUGCAGAAGCUAUACUUUUGGGAGCUAAAGCAAAGCAGGCUGCUCCUGGUGAUGUUCUUAAUGGUAAAUUAUUGUUGUGCGUAUUAAAUUAAUAUCCUUGCCUGCUUCUUCUGUUUUGUGUGACUGACUUGACUCUCUCUCUCUAGGUAUCCUCAAAGUCCUUGUAACUUUUGAUCGAGUGCGUGCUUGUGUUCUAGGCAGAGAGAGAGAGUUAUGAAUCCAAUGCAAGGCCCGCGGAAUAGUGAUGUGAAUCAAGGAGAUACUAAUGAACCGGUUUAUAACACAGAGAUGAAUCCAUUAGUAGAGAAUGAGUUCUCAAACAGUGGUACUACGCCUUCAGGACGACCUGCUCAAAAUCAUAACUGGUGGAGAUUUGGGGAGUCCAGCUCAGCGAAUCACCAGCUGCCCCCACAAGAUGGAUAUGGAGGGCCUUCUUUCUUGCGCGGUUCAGGCUCUAACGCUAUGAGCAUGGACAUGGACAGCGAUGGUUACGGUGCACAGACUUCCGGGGUCGUUUUCCGUCAUAGUAACUAUGGGAGUUCAUUAGGAAGCUCAGUUCAGGCCGCUGGAGAGAGCAGUAGUGGUCCGGCCUCUUCUUUGGGUCUUUGGGGUUCCUCUUGCAAAAGAAAGGCUCUCGAAGGAGUUCCUACUGCUGAAACUCCUGACUUCGUUUCUCACAACGACAAUGCAGCUCAUCCUCGUUAUGGUGCUUCCAGUAGCUUAACGUUGGCUACCCCCUCACAAACUUCUCCUAAUCCUUUUGGCCGGACAGAACCCUUGUUUGGAGGAACUAGACCGGCAGCUUCAACUAAUGCUUUUCAUUCCGUAAGAAACACUGACACUUCUUCUAGACCUGGCAGAAGGUUAAACCCGAGGCAGCCUCAGGAGUCUGUUGCAUUCAGCAUUUCACUAGGUGGAACUUCUGUGCGUCCCACUGGCUCUUUGCAACAGAAUAUAGAUCCUCGGUCAACAGCAUUCGCUAGUGGCUCAAGCAGUGGUGAGCAUCCGUCAAAUAUAGUCCAUCACCCUGCUUUGACGAGGAAUAUACACCAAUUUGCUUGGGAUAGAGGAAGCGGCUCUUCGGGUGUUGAAAUGCCACAGUGGGAAACACCAAGAAGCAAUCCGGAGCAGCCCACCAUGUUUGCACCUCCAACUGACAUUAGAAACCCCGUGCAUGAUCAAUCCAUGUGGAGUUUCACACGUGGGAGUCCUGUAGAUUCUCCGUUCGCUUCUCGAGGAGGGCCGAGUUCAGCUAUUCAUGGGCAGCAGCAGCAGCCAUCAAAUCCCGCAUGGAUUCCUCCUCAGAGUGGCCCAAUACAUGAUCCAACGAGAGCAUCAGAACUAUCUCCUUGGUCUUUAUUUCCUAGUAUUGAAUCUCAAUCUGCUAGUCAUGGUCCCUUGUUGCCCACAGGUCCUUCUCUUUCCUCAAAUGAGGCUGCAAUGCCAUCUAGCUCUAAUAGCCGGAGCCAUCGCUCACGGCAAAGAAGGUCAGGGUUGUUAUCUGAGAGACAGAAUGAGCUUCUCCACUUGCGUCACUUAGGGAGGAGCUUAGCUGCUGACAGUGAUGGAAGGAAUCACCUUAUCUCUGAGGUCUGUCUUCUAUAUAUUACUCAGCUCUUUAAUGAUUAUUCUUAACAGCCUACAAUAGCAUUUGACCAUUUCUUGGGGGGUGAUGUUUUCUGGUGUUUUACUUUUGUGAUAUAAUCUGGUUUUGUACUUUUGUGAUCUAAGUUAAUAUAUGAGUGCUAGAGCAGUUUGGUGCAUUCUGAUAUGACUUAAUGCAAACCAUAGUAACGUUAUGGGAGAUGUUUCUUGUUUUGUAAACCUCCUUUUUGUUUUUGUUUUUUGUACUUCGAUAAGAGUUUUAAUAGUGAGUUGUACUGUACUCUUUCCUCUUUUUGUUCGCAGAUACGUCAGGUGUUGUCCGCCAUGAGAAGAGGGGAAAGUUUACGUAUUGAGGUAUGAUUUUGACACAAGUGAUUCUCUUGUUUAUAUCAGUUUAUUGGUAGACGUGUUUUCCUGAAGUGUGCGAAGGAGUCCCUGAAUACACGUUUUAGCUUUAUAACUUUUAAACCAUAGUUUCCUGCAAACAAGUGCCUGACAUCUUUGUAGCUGCAAUGUAUCAUAGUCUUAAGUGUUAUAGGUCUCACAUUACGAACAUAGUCUUAGCCACUUGUGAGUUCCUUUUAUUCCUUUCUGAAGCAUUACAUGUGUAGCUUACCUUCCUGUUUCUCCAUUCGAUAGGAUUACAUGGUGUUGGAUCCACUUAUCUUCCAGGGUAUGACUGAAAUGCACGAUAGGCAUCGGGAAAUGCGCCUUGAUGUCGACAACAUGUCGUACGAGGUGAGUAUUCAAUUUCCUUUUUGACUGUUUAAUCGCAAUCUUCCCAUUUGCCAAUGUUGUCUGGGAAUGAAUGUAGGAGCUAUUGGCACUUGGGGAACGCAUAGGAGAUGUGAGCACUGGACUAAGCGAAGAUGUCAUUCUGAAAACAAUGAAACAGCACAAAUGUACAUCUUCUUCUCCUGAGUUGCAUCAGUACAUGGAGCCUUGCUGUAUUUGUCAGGUAAACUAGUUAUAAACUAAAGAGUAUUCCACUCCUUUCACUACUGUACAUUAAUCAUGCAUCUGUAUACUCAGCCAUUCCUUACGCGACAAUUACACUUAGUGAGCAUAAAAGAUAAGAAAAGUGGUUUUUUAUUGUUUCUCUUGCAUGUGGAGUGAAUUAGGAUACUGCAGAUAAGAUAGAUUGGACCAGAGUUUGUUUGUUGUUUGGGAGCCUUCUGAGAUUUGGAAAACUUAGUUUCCUCUGUGUCUCUACUUAAUGUGUCUCUACUUAAAGUCACGAACUGAUGUGGAACUGUUUUUCUUGGUGCUGUUUUGACAGGAAGAAUAUGCAGAAGGUGAUGAUCUUGGGACCUUGGAAUGUGGCCAUGAGUUCCACAAGGACUGUAUCAAGCAAUGGGUCAUGCUCAAGAAUCUCUGCCCCAUAUGUAAGACCGUGGCAUUAACAACGUGAUGGUACUCUCAUCUUAAUUGCGCAUCCCGGCUCCAUUCAUCAUCCUUUCGAUGCCAAAAGAAAAGAAAAAAACAAAAAAUUAAAGAACUGUUCUUCUAUCUAUCCCUAUCUCAUAUCAAAUAUUUAAUUGUUAUGCUUGCUCGUUAUGUCACACUGUUAAGAGAACAUUAUGACAAACAAAUUCAUAACAUAUCCAUGGAGAAAGAAUAAUUCAUUAGAAUCCUUUUGUAAUUGUUGAUAGUUGAUUGUUCAUUUCUUAAUAACAUGCCUUUCAAUUUCUUACAAAGAUUUUGGUUUUCAAAUUUUCUCAAAAGUAAAAACAGGAAUGCUUAAACUACAGAAUCAUGUACAAUAAAAGAGUUCACAUUUCUUGUUCCCAAUGAGAAUCAUUUCCUCAUAAUAAGAUGCUUUAAAGUUCUCACAAAUGUUUUGUUUAUGACAAUUGAGCAGUAUAAAUGCUUAAACUACAGAUAUCAUGUGUCUUAAUGUGUCUCUACUUAUGCUCUUGUUCCCAAUGAGAAUAAUCCCCUUUUUUUACUAGAAUCUUUUGUAAAUAGUUCACAGUUGAUUUCUUAAUAAGAUUCUUUAAAAUUCUUACAAAUAUUUUGUUUUUGAGAAUUGAGCAGUAGAAAUGCUUAGACUAGGGAAACAAAGCUUAUGUAGUAAAAACUCUUCUGUCUAAGGAAAGAGUAAAGAGCAUGUACAAUAAAACUCGGCCUGCUCAGGCAAAGCGCUGACAUUGAGAAAGAACACUUGAAAGAAAACGCACCGUCUCAUCAGAGUUGGGCUCCCCUAAAUGGCGUUGAUGAGUUUGGUCCCUGUAGCAGGAUCUUCAUCUAUGGCAACAACAUCGCUGAACUUGUCAAAAAGCUGCUCCAACUGAUCCACUCCCAUCUUAUUGUAAUCCAGUGACCUCUUGUACCUUUGCUUGUAUACCGCCUCAAAACAAUCCAUCCGCACGCGACAACCAUAGCUAACCAUAAUGUCUUGCAGCUCCAACUUGAACUCUUCCAGGCUCCUCUCGCUCUGAGUCGAACCAGUAUCCGAGAGUUCAUCAGAUGAGACUCCUCCUCCAUUGGUAGUAAUGCUGAUAUCUUUGUCUUUAUUCUCUCUCCUCAGUAGAACCACAGGCGGAGGAGAAGGAGGAGAGACACGGCUCGGUCUGGAGCUCCGAAGAUAAACAAACCUCUUGUUGCCUUUACCAUCCACAGCAAUCACAUCACCCAUCUUCUUGAAAAGAUCCACAAGCUUAGGCGAACCAUAAUCCGCCACAAAAAGAGGUUUACUAAAAUUCCUUUGAUACUCAGAAGGAACACGCAUGAGAGGCAUACACCCACCCGAAAGCUCCAAAAGCUUCACUAGCUGUCCCUUCAAACCAUUCAAAUCUCCAGGCGCUACCCACAUGGUGGACUCAAGGUGGCCAGGAGGAGGAUAACAUGACGGCAUCAUGCUGCUACUGCUACUACACUCAUUCUGAAACUGAGAAACCAUCAAGGAAGAAGCUUCUCUAGAGUUACCACUAUAAAAACUCUGAGACACACCUCUAUAAAGAAUCGUCUCAUCUUCAUUCACCGCCCCAUCAAGAUUAUUACUGCCACAUCCCAUCAGAUAGGUCCCAACACGAGGCCUCGGCAACGGCACAAACCCUUCACCGUGAACAAUGCUUUGCCAGUCCCAAACAAACUUACCAGCACUAGUCAAAGCCGGGUUCACGUACACGCCAGAAGGUAUAAUGACAACCACACUGUGCCCACGCUGGCCAAGCACGUGAAGAGCGGGAGCGAAAUCAACAUCUCCAGUGAUGAUAACGAUAGUGGAAGGAGGAGGAUGGUCAAGCACGAACAGGAACAUGUCGAGGAGGAUAGCUUUAUCAGCUGCGUCUUUCCUGCCGUUGGGUACAUCGACGAGUUUGACACCUGUCCUCUGACAGCCUUCCCUGACGCGGCGAGGGAAGGCGUUGAAGUCGCCGAAGGCUGAGAAGACGACCACCGAGCCGGAGACCACUGGGUGGAGCUGUAUAGCGGUUCGGAUGUUACUGGCGACGUCUUCGGGACGUACGUCGCUGGGGACGGGACAGUUUUCGAUGUCCCAGAGGACUGCUAGAGGAGCUUCGCGUCUCUGUGUGGCGGCCAUUAGGUUGAAAUCGCUUGCAAAGGAAUCAACGGAGACGAUCGCUGUUUCUGAUGGUGACAUUGCUUUUUGUAUCAUCAUCAAUCGCUGGCUUCUAUUAACAAACAAAAACACUUCGAGUAUGGUUUUAGCUAGGGAUUAGAGAAAUUGAGAUGAAGAUUAAGCAGAUCGAAAGCAUAGUACCUGAUGCACAGAGACGGAUCUUGAAGAUGAGAGAGAGAUUUCACGAUUCUGCAGAAUCUUAAGGGAAAGAUGAUAUUUCUUCUCCGGCGGAAAAAGGAAAUUAAAAUUGUUUUGGAGCUUUCACCGACUCUCUUUCUAAGUUUUCUCUUUCGUGGGCUUAUGUAGUUCCUUAAAAGCCCAUUUCCGCCAUUUUCUAUCUUCUUUGAAAACUUUUGUUUUUGUUCGUAAAACUUAGGAUUUAGAAUCACUAAGUUCUUAGUAGGGGUUAUUGGUUGUUGUAUUUUAAUGGAUUUGAAAAUCCGAACUAAAUCUAGAGGAGCUAUUGGCACUUGGGGAACGCAUAGGAGAUGUGAGCACUGGACUUAGCGAAGAUGUCAUUCUGAAAACUAUGAAACAGCACAAAUGUACAUCUUCUUCUCCUGAGUUGCAUCAGUACAUGGAGCCUUGCUGUAUUUGUCAGGUAAACUAGUUAUAAACUAAAGAGUAUUCCUUUUCACUACUGUACAUUAAUCAUGCAUCUGUAUACUCAGCUUGGCCAGAAGGCCAUUCCUUACGCGACAAUUACACUUAGUGAGCAUAAAAGAUAAGAAAAGUGGUUUUUUAUUGUUUCUCUUGCAUGUGGAGUGAAUUAGGAUACUGCAGAUAAGAUAGAUUGGACCAGAGUUUGUUUGUUGUUUGGGAGCCUUCUGAGAUUUGGAAAACUUAGUUUCCUCUGUGUCUCUACUUAAUGUGUCUCUACUUAAAGUCACGAACUGAUGUGGAACUGUUUUUCUUGGUGCUGUUUUGACAGGAAGAAUAUGCAGAAGGUGAUGAUCUUGGGACCUUGGAAUGUGGCCAUGAGUUCCACAAGGACUGUAUCAAGCAAUGGGUCAUGCUCAAGAAUCUCUGCCCCAUAUGUAAGACCGUGGCAUUAACAACGUGAUGGUACUCUCAUCUUAAUUGCGCAUCCCGGCUCCAUUCAUCAUCCUUUCGAUGCCAAAAGAAAAGAAAAAAAAAAUAUUUUAAAGAACUGUUCUAUCUAUCCCUAUUCUCAUAUCAAAUAUUUAAUUGUUAUGCUUGCUCGUUAUGUCACACUGUUAAGAGAACAUUAUGACAAACAAAUUCAUAACAUAUCCAUGGAGAAAGAAUAAUUCAUUAGAAUCCUUUUGUAAUUGUUGAUAGUUGAUUGUUCAUUUCUUAAUAACAUGCCUUUCAAUUUCUUAAGCAUUUCACUUGGUGGAACUUCUGUGCGUCCCACUGGCUCUUUGCAACAGAAUAUACUAUUAAACGCUCCUUCCUCUGUAGAUCCUCUAGAUGUGAGGUCAACAGCAUUCGCUAGUGGCUCAAGCAGUGGUGAGCAUCCGACAAAUAUAGUCCAUCACCCUGCUUUGACGAGGAACAUACACCAGUUUUCUUGGGAUAGAGGAAGCGGUUCUUCGGGUGUUGAAAUGCCACAGUGGGAAACACCAAGAAGCAAUCCGGAGCAGCCCACCAUGUUUGCACCUCCAACUGACAUUAGAAACCCUGUGCAUGAUCAAUCCAUGUGGAGUUUCACACGUGGGAGUCCUGUAGAUUCUCCGUUCGCUUCUCGAGGAGGGCCGAGUUCAGCUAUUCAUGGGCAGCAGCAGCAGCCAUCAAAUCCCGCAUGGAUUCCUCCUCAGAGUGGCCCAAUACAUGAUCCAACGAGAGCAUCAGAACUAUCUCCUUGGUCUUUAUUUCCUAGUAUUGAAUCUCAAUCUGCUAGUCAUGGUCCCUUGUUGCCCACAGGUCCUUCUCUUUCCUCAAAUGAGGCUGCAAUGCCAUCUAGCUCUAAUAGCCGGAGCCAUCGCUCACGGCAAAGAAGGUCAGGGUUGUUAUCUGAGAGACAGAAUGAGCUUCUCCACUUGCGUCACUUAGGGAGGAGCUUAGCUGCUGACAGUGAUGGAAGGAAUCACCUUAUCUCUGAGGUCUGUCUUCUAUAUAUUACUCAGCUCUUUAAUGAUUAUUCUUAACAGCCUACAAUAGCAUUUGACCAUUUCUUGGGGGGUGAUGUUUUCUGGUGUUUUACUUUUGUGAUAUAAUCUGGUUUUGUACUUUUGUGAUCUAAGUUAAUAUAUGAGUGCUAGAGCAGUUUGGUGCAUUCUGAUAUGACUUAAUGCAAACCAUAGUAACGUUAUGGGAGAUGUUUCUUGUUUUGUAAACCUCCUUUUUGUUUUUGUUUUUUGUACUUCGAUAAGAGUUUUAAUAGUGAGUUGUACUGUACUCUUUCCUCUUUUUGUUCGCAGAUACGUCAGGUGUUGUCCGCCAUGAGAAGAGGGGAAAGUUUACGUAUUGAGGUAUGAUUUUGACACAAGUGAUUCUCUUGUUUAUAUCAGUUUAUUGGUAGACGUGUUUUCCUGAAGUGUGCGAAGGAGUCCCUGAAUACACGUUUUAGCUUUAUAACUUUUAAACCAUAGUUUCCUGCAAACAAGUGCCUGACAUCUUUGUAGCUGCAAUGUAUCAUAGUCUUAAGUGUUAUAGGUCUCACAUUACGAACAUAGUCUUAGCCACUUGUGAGUUCCUUUUAUUCCUUUCUGAAGCAUUACAUGUGUAGCUUACCUUCCUGUUUCUCCAUUCGAUAGGAUUACAUGGUGUUGGAUCCACUUAUCUUCCAGGGUAUGACUGAAAUGCACGAUAGGCAUCGGGAAAUGCGCCUUGAUGUCGACAACAUGUCGUACGAGGUGAGUAUUCAAUUUCCUUUUUGACUGUUUAACCGCAAUCUUCCCAUUUGCCAAUGUUGUCUGGGAAUGAAUGUAGGAGCUAUUGGCACUUGGGGAACGCAUAGGAGAUGUGAGCACUGGACUAAGCGAAGAUGUCAUUCUGAAAACAAUGAAACAGCACAAAUGUACAUCUUCUUCUCCUGAGUUGCAUCAGUACAUGGAGCCUUGCUGUAUUUGUCAGGUAAACUAGUUAUAAACUAAAGAGUAUUCCACUCCUUUCACUACUGUACAUUAAUCAUGCAUCUGUAUACUCAGCCAUUCCUUACGCGACAAUUACACUUAGUGAGCAUAAAAGAUAAGAAAAGUGGUUUUUUAUUGUUUCUCUUGCAUGUGGAGUGAAUUAGGAUACUGCAGAUAAGAUAGAUUGGACCAGAGUUUGUUUGUUGUUUGGGAGCCUUCUGAGAUUUGGAAAACUUAGUUUCCUCUGUGUCUCUACUUAAUGUGUCUCUACUUAAAGUCACGAACUGAUGUGGAACUGUUUUUCUUGGUGCUGUUUUGACAGGAAGAAUAUGCAGAAGGUGAUGAUCUUGGGACCUUGGAAUGUGGCCAUGAGUUCCACAAGGACUGUAUCAAGCAAUGGGUCAUGCUCAAGAAUCUCUGCCCCAUAUGUAAGACCGUGGCAUUAACAACGUGAUGGUACUCUCAUCUUAAUUGCGCAUCCCGGCUCCAUUCAUCAUCCUUUCGAUGCCAAAAGAAAAGAAAAAAACAAAAAAUUAAAGAACUGUUCUUCUAUCUAUCCCUAUCUCAUAUCAAAUAUUUAAUUGUUAUGCUUGCUCGUUAUGUCACACUGUUAAGAGAACAUUAUGACAAACAAAUUCAUAACAUAUCCAUGGAGAAAGAAUAAUUCAUUAGAAUCCUUUUGUAAUUGUUGAUAGUUGAUUGUUCAUUUCUUAAUAACAUGCCUUUCAAUUUCUUACAAAGAUUUUGGUUUUCAAAUUUUCUCAAAAGUAAAAACAGGAAUGCUUAAACUACAGAAUCAUGUACAAUAAAAGAGUUCACAUUUCUUGUUCCCAAUGAGAAUCAUUUCCUCAUAAUAAGAUGCUUUAAAGUUCUCACAAAUGUUUUGUUUAUGACAAUUGAGCAGUAUAAAUGCUUAAACUACAGAUAUCAUGUGUCUUAAUGUGUCUCUACUUAUGCUCUUGUUCCCAAUGAGAAUAAUCCCCUUUUUUUACUAGAAUCUUUUGUAAAUAGUUCACAGUUGAUUUCUUAAUAAGAUUCUUUAAAAUUCUUACAAAUAUUUUGUUUUUGAGAAUUGAGCAGUAGAAAUGCUUAGACUAGGGAAACAAAGCUUAUGUAGUAAAAACUCUUCUGUCUAAGGAAAGAGUAAAGAGCAUGUACAAUAAAACUCGGCCUGCUCAGGCAAAGCGCUGACAUUGAGAAAGAACACUUGAAAGAAAACGCACCGUCUCAUCAGAGUUGGGCUCCCCUAAAUGGCGUUGAUGAGUUUGGUCCCUGUAGCAGGAUCUUCAUCUAUGGCAACAACAUCGCUGAACUUGUCAAAAAGCUGCUCCAACUGAUCCACUCCCAUCUUAUUGUAAUCCAGUGACCUCUUGUACCUUUGCUUGUAUACCGCCUCAAAACAAUCCAUCCGCACGCGACAACCAUAGCUAACCAUAAUGUCUUGCAGCUCCAACUUGAACUCUUCCAGGCUCCUCUCGCUCUGAGUCGAACCAGUAUCCGAGAGUUCAUCAGAUGAGACUCCUCCUCCAUUGGUAGUAAUGCUGAUAUCUUUGUCUUUAUUCUCUCUCCUCAGUAGAACCACAGGCGGAGGAGAAGGAGGAGAGACACGGCUCGGUCUGGAGCUCCGAAGAUAAACAAACCUCUUGUUGCCUUUACCAUCCACAGCAAUCACAUCACCCAUCUUCUUGAAAAGAUCCACAAGCUUAGGCGAACCAUAAUCCGCCACAAAAAGAGGUUUACUAAAAUUCCUUUGAUACUCAGAAGGAACACGCAUGAGAGGCAUACACCCACCCGAAAGCUCCAAAAGCUUCACUAGCUGUCCCUUCAAACCAUUCAAAUCUCCAGGCGCUACCCACAUGGUGGACUCAAGGUGGCCAGGAGGAGGAUAACAUGACGGCAUCAUGCUGCUACUGCUACUACACUCAUUCUGAAACUGAGAAACCAUCAAGGAAGAAGCUUCUCUAGAGUUACCACUAUAAAAACUCUGAGACACACCUCUAUAAAGAAUCGUCUCAUCUUCAUUCACCGCCCCAUCAAGAUUAUUACUGCCACAUCCCAUCAGAUAGGUCCCAACACGAGGCCUCGGCAACGGCACAAACCCUUCACCGUGAACAAUGCUUUGCCAGUCCCAAACAAACUUACCAGCACUAGUCAAAGCCGGGUUCACGUACACGCCAGAAGGUAUAAUGACAACCACACUGUGCCCACGCUGGCCAAGCACGUGAAGAGCGGGAGCGAAAUCAACAUCUCCAGUGAUGAUAACGAUAGUGGAAGGAGGAGGAUGGUCAAGCACGAACAGGAACAUGUCGAGGAGGAUAGCUUUAUCAGCUGCGUCUUUCCUGCCGUUGGGUACAUCGACGAGUUUGACACCUGUCCUCUGACAGCCUUCCCUGACGCGGCGAGGGAAGGCGUUGAAGUCGCCGAAGGCUGAGAAGACGACCACCGAGCCGGAGACCACUGGGUGGAGCUGUAUAGCGGUUCGGAUGUUACUGGCGACGUCUUCGGGACGUACGUCGCUGGGGACGGGACAGUUUUCGAUGUCCCAGAGGACUGCUAGAGGAGCUUCGCGUCUCUGUGUGGCGGCCAUUAGGUUGAAAUCGCUUGCAAAGGAAUCAACGGAGACGAUCGCUGUUUCUGAUGGUGACAUUGCUUUUUGUAUCAUCAUCAAUCGCUGGCUUCUAUUAACAAACAAAAACACUUCGAGUAUGGUUUUAGCUAGGGAUUAGAGAAAUUGAG